UUCCAGAUCCAAGAAAGAGGGAGAGUGCUCGUCCUCUCUAGCCUCCUUCCAUCACUGUUCAGAUCGCCGGCAAAGCAAGCAGGUGUAGUGGUCCAGCCGCAACUCGUGGGUCCUUAUUUGACUGUCGAUUCUACAUUCUCCUCACUACCAUCCGUUUCUCCUCUGUCAUCCCCUGUCUCGCACGUCUCUAGUCAACAAUCAUCAUCUUCUUCUUCCUUAUUCAGCAGCAGCGUUUUGUUUCCCAGCUCUCAUUAUUAUUGAUUAGAGAUUCAUUAGCUAAUGCUGGACCUCUUGCCUAUCAUUAAGGGGCUUACAACUAUGCUAGAUCCUGACAAGGGAGGAAUAAUUUGCAGUUCCAUGUCGGCAGUCAAAGCUGAACCCCUAAUUGGCUGUUCAUUUUUUGUGUUUAAUAUCGAAACUUUGGGGUGGGUAAUGACACCAUUGUUAGAAUAAGAUUCCU